AAGGCAUUGCCCAUGUUUGAGGUGUGUAGCUCUUCUGCCAUUAGCAGGAUCAGAACCUACAGGCUAUGAAAACAGGACCUGAAAGUGUUGCAAAAGGAAACGGAUAGGUAUUACAGUAUACUUUUGCUAAGGCAGGCAGCUUCUGAAGUCAAUGAAGGGCAGCCUAUUGCUCUGUCAACAGAUAUAAAGCAGUGCCUGCAAGCAUGGAAGGUGAUAGAAGUGGGUUGAUGUUAGGAAAUUGUGACGGCAAGAGGAGAAGGGGAUGACUGAGGAUGAGAUGGCUGGACAGUGUCUGCGAAGCAACCAACAUGAAAUUGACACAACUCUGGGAGGCGGUGGAAGAUAGGAGGGCCUGGCGUGCUCUGGUCCAUGGGGUCACGAAGAGUCGGACACGACUAAAUGACAAAUGGAAGGUGAUAGAAGUGGGUGGGUGAAGGGAUACUAGACAUGGGUUUCUGGAACCAUGCAUGGCCCUUUUUAGAUGACUCUGGGCUACUGAACCUAACAAGGAACUGGUUGUCUGAAAGGGCAGACGCCCGCCUUUUGAAAGAUACACAGGCAGGCACUGAUCUUUGGUUGGUGGAAAGAGGUGCCCGUCACCACCUACGAAAUGGUGCAGAAGGUGUUAAGAGGGAGCCCUGGAUUUGCACGGAAGGCGCCAGACCUUGGGCUCUGCUGGCAGGGAGCAACCCGACAUGGAUCGUGUCACAAGCAACCUGCCAGAAAUUCGACCUGGCAGCAGAACCUUUGUGGACAGGCUGGUAACCAGGAGAGGCAGAAAACACUAAGGGGGGGCUUUCCCACAAAGUUCCCUAGGGAAGCUUCCUCUAUUUGGCUUUCUUUUUCUUGGCUCCUUCAAGGAGUUCGUUGAGCCUCCAACAAAGACAGGCAGAUGUCAUCCUUGACGGUCUGGACCACCCUGGCCGUACCAAUCGGUCUUCCCUUCCUGCUCACCUGUCCUUGGGUUGGGCUUUCCCUUGAGAGCUGGAGGGACAAGAAGCUGAGAAGCACCCCCCCCCGAAUCCUUCUUGACAAAGGGGGCGAUUUCCUGGAAAAAGCAAAAGAAAGCCUUUUCUUGGGUGAGGAGAGUUGGAGAGGUGGGACGCGGAAGACCCCAGGCCUGAAAAAAAAACUAGAGGGGCAUGGUGUCUUCCCCAAGACUGGGAAGCCAUGUGUCCCCAACAUUGAGCUCAAAGGUGGUGUGGGGUCUGAUGGCGUGUGGGGCGGGUGUCUAGGUCCCGAACCUGCCACACGUGGCUCGGUCUGAUUGCCAGUGGCCUCCUAUCCUUUUUUGAGAGACGUGGUAAGCUCAGUCAGGUCAAUGGAGGACUCUUGAGCCUGGCCUCAGAGGCAGAGAGCAUU
rnacentral:lncRNA from 1 species